rnacentral:rRNA from 1 species
GGGAGCAAGCGUUAUCCGGAAUCAUUGGGCGUAAAGCGCCUGUAGGUUGUUUAUUAAGUCUGUGGUUAAAGACUAGGGCUCAACCCUAGGAAAGCAAUGGAAACUAAUAGACUAGAGUAUGGCAGGGGUAGAGGGAAUUUCUAGUGUAGCGGUGAAAUGCGUAGAUAUUAGAAAGAACACCGGUGGCGAAAGCGCUCUACUGGACCAUUACUGACACUCAGAGGCGAAAGCUAGGGUAGCAAAAGGGAUUAGAUACCCCUGUAGUCCUAGCCGUAAACGAUGGAUACUAGAUGUUGUGCAUAAAGUACAGUAUCGCAGCUAACGCGUUAAGUAUCCCGCCUGGGGAGUACGCUCGCAAGGGUGAAACUCAAAGGAAUUGACGGGGGCCCGCACAAGCGGUGGAGCAUGUGGUUUAAUUCGAUGCAACGCGAAGAACCUUACCAGGGCUUGACAUACUACAGAUCUUUUUGAGAAAGAAGAGUGCCUUCGGGAAUGUAGAUACAGGUGGUGCAUGGCUGUCGUCAGCUCGUGUCGUGAGAUGUUGGGUUAAGUCCCGCAACGAGCGCAACCCUCGUUUUUAGUUGCCAAUUUAUUGGGAUCUCUAGAAAGACUGCCGGUGACAAACCGGAGGAAGGUGAGGAUGACGUCAAGUCAGCAUGCCCCUUAUGUCCUGGGCCACACACGUGCUACAAUGGUAAAGACAAAGAGUCGCCAAUUCGCGAGAAUGAGCUAAUCUCAUAA